rnacentral:rRNA from 1 species
GUGAGGAAUAUUGGGCAAUGGGGGUAACCCUGACCCAGCCAUGCCGCGUGAGGGAAGUAGGCCCUACGGGUCGUGAACCUCUUUUACUCGGGGACAAGGACUCGGUCGCGAACCGAGUUUGAGGGUACCGAGGGAAUAAGCAUCGGCUAACUCCGUGCCAGCAGCCGCGGUAAUACGGAGGAUGCGAGCGUUAUCCGGAUUCAUUGGGUUUAAAGGGUGCGCAGGCGGCCGGCCAAGUCAGCGGUGAAAGUCAGGGGCCCAACCCCGGAAGUGCCGUUGAUACUGGUUGGCUGGAAUGCGGUCGAGGCGGGCGGAAUGUGGCGUGUAGCGGUGAAAUGCGUAGAUAUGCCACAGAACGCCGAUAGCGAAGGCAGCUCGCCAGGCCUGCAUUGACGCUCGGGCACGAAAGCGUGGGGAUCGAACAGG